rnacentral:rRNA from 1 species
AACGAACGCUGGCGGCAGGCUUAACACAUGCAAGUCGAACGAACGUAGCAAUACGUUAGUGGCAGACGGGUGAGUAACGCGUGGGAAUAUGCCCUAUGGUUUGGAAUAACUCAGGGAAACUUGAGCUAAUACCGGAUAAGCCCGAGAGGGGAAAGAUUUAUCGCCAUUGGAGUAGCCCGCGUCUGAUUAGCUAGUUGGUGAGGUAAUGGCUCACCAAGGCGACGAUCAGUAGCUGGUCUGAGAGGAUGAUCAGCCACACUGGGACUGAGACACGGCCCAGACUCCUACGGGAGGCAGCAGUGGGGAAUAUUGGACAAUGGGGGCAACCCUGAUCCAGCCAUGCCGCGUGAGUGAUGAAGGCCUUAGGGUUGUAAAACUCUUUUGUCCGGGAAGAUAAUGACUGUACCGGAAGAAUAAGCCCCGGCUAACUUCGUGCCAGCCGCCGCGGUAAAAC